GGGGCCGUAGCUCAAUUGGUAGAGCGCUUGCAUGGCAUGCAAGAGGUCGUCGGUUCGAUUCCGAUCGGCUCCACCA
rnacentral:tRNA from 2 species